CGUAAUGACCUCUUCAUAAAUUCAUCCCUUCAAUCAUCAAAUACAACAACAUACUCCUUCUAUCUUCAGAAAUUCAUAAAAAAAAAAAACAGAGAAGACCGUUUGCCAUGACCUCCAGCACCUACGUUCUUCAUCCGAGCCCUCCAUAAUCUCUGGGCAGCACCUCCUUUCUUUACACACAAGGUCUUCAUCAUUACCCUUCACUAUUAUCAGCGCACCUCCAACGCCAUGAGGGUUGACACACAUGAUUCUCCAUUCCCUCGGACCCACUUGGAAACCAAUUCCCCCAACCUGCAUUCUCCUUGACCAUUCACCGCCGUCAUCGUUCAUCAUCUUCAUCUGGUUCAUUACCUGGAAAACAGAAAAAAAACACCAUUUGUCCCCUCACACACCACUUUCAAUCAACAGAGCCAUUACUUCAUUCAUCAUAGAAACACAAC
rnacentral:lncRNA from 1 species